rnacentral:rRNA from 1 species
AUACGUAGGUGACAAGCGUUAUCCGGAUUUACUGGGCGUAAAGGGCGUGUAGGCGGUCUUGCAAGUCAGAAGUGAAAUUCCUGAGCUCAACUCGGGCGCUGCUUCUGAAACUGCAGGACUUGAGUGCUGGAGGGGAUAGUGGAAUUCCUAGUGUAGCGGUAAAAUGCGCAGAUAUUAGGAGGAACACCGGUGGCGAAGGCGGCUAUCUGGACAGUAACUGACGCUGAGGCGCGAAAGCACGGGGAGCAAACAGGAUUAGAUACCCUGGUAGUCCGUGCCGUAAACGAUGAAUACUAGGUGUAGGGGGUAUCGACUCCCUCUGUGCCGCAGUUAACACAUUAAGUAUUCCACCUGGGGAGUACGGCCGCGAGGUUGAAACUCAAAGGAAUUGACGGGG